rnacentral:rRNA from 1 species
UUAGUACGAGAUGCUACGGCAUCGAAGCAGUCUAUGUCAUACUUCCAAGAAAAGCUUGCACUGUCAUAAACAAAGAAUGCCUGUACCAUAACCGACACAGGUGGGUAGGUAGAGUAUACUAAGGGGCGCGAGAUAACUCUCUCUAAGGAACUCGGCAAAAUGACUCCGUAACUUCGGGAGAAGGAGUGCCUUAUUUCUAAGGUUGCAAUAACAAGAUCCAAGCAACUGUUUACCAAAAACACAGGUCUCCGCUAAGUCGUAAGACGAUGUAUGGGGGCUGACGCCUGCCCAGUGCCAGAAGGUUAAAGAAGUUGGUUAGCAUUAGCGAAGCUGAUAACUGAAGCCCUGGUGAACGGCGGCCGUAACUAUAACGGUCCUAAGGUAGCGAAAUUCCUUGUCGGGUAAGUUCCGACCCGCACGAAAGGCGUAAUGAUUUGGAUACUGUCUCGGAGAGGGGCUCGGUGAAAUAGACUUGUCUGUGAAGAUGCGGACUACCUGCACCUGGACAGAAAGACCCUAUGAAGCUUUACUGUAACUUGAGAUUGAAAUUGGACUUUAUUUGCGCAGUAUAGGUGGGAGGCGUUGAGAAUAAUCUUGCGGGAUUGUUGGAGCCAUCAGUGAGAUACCACUCUUGUAAUGUUAGAUUUCUAACUUUGUAUCAUUAUCUGGUCAAAGAACAGUUUCAGGCGGGCAGUUUGACUGGGGCGGUCGCCUCCCAAAGGGUAACGGAGGCGCACAAAGGUUUCCUCUGAACGGGUAGAAAUCGUAUCCAGAGUGUAAAGGCAUAAGGAAGCUUGACUGUGAGACCUACAAGUCGAGCAGGGACGAAAGUCGGUCUUAGUGAUCUGACGGUGCUGAGUGGAAAGGCCGUCACUCAACGGAUAAAAGUUACUCUAGGAUAACAGGCUGAUCUCCCCCAAGAGUUCACAUCGACGGGGAGGUUUGGCACCUCGAUGUCGGCUCAUCGCAUCCUGGGGCGGUAGUCCGUCCCAAGGGUUGGGCUGUUCGCCCAUGAAAGCGGUACGCGAGCUGGGUUCAGAACGUCGUGAGACAGUUCGGUCCAUAUCCGGUGUAGGCGUUAGAAUAUUGAGAGGAGCCUUCUCUAGUACGAGAGGACCGAGAAGGACAUACCUCUGGUGUACCAGUUAUCGUGCCAACGGUAAACGCUGGGUAGCUAUGUAUGGAGUGGAUAACCGCUGAAAGCAUCUAAGUGGGAAGCCCACCUCAAGAUAAGUAUUCUC